rnacentral:snoRNA from 1 species
AAGCAGAGAACCUUCUCUUCUCAGACUCUGAUCUUGGAUUAAGAGUGACAAUACCGAGCAGGAAUACCUCCAUAACAUGCUACAUAAAAGGAGUUCUCAGGGGUGCCAACCUUACAGUAGAGGUUGAGUAGUAGUAUAUUUCUCCCCUCCCU